UAAAUAUAUUUCAAAAAUCAUGUCUUCAUGUACUGUCACAUUUGGAAUUAUGCACAAACAUCCAAACCUUAUUGUGGUUCAAAACAUGUGAAAGACAAAUUCCUUAAAAGUUUCACACCCUGCCUAGGGCAAAAGGCAAGCAUUUCCUUAUCAUGCAAGAAAUAUCAUAAAGCAAUUAAAUUAACUUAAAGACCUCAUCUCUCGAAAGGAUAUUACAGAAAGCCAAAUGGUCCUUGUAAAUAGUUUUAUAUUACAAAACUAUGUCAUGACAAAAGUUUCUAAUUGCUUUCUGCAAAAUAACUUAAAAGAUGCUUGGCUGAAAAAUGUUGUAAACACAUUCCAAAAAUUAUGCCAGAAAGGGCCCUAAUGACUGCAUCUGCACUAGAACCUUCAAUAGAAGUAUUGCACUUUAAGUCGAACCGUACAGCCACCUUCAGUAGGCAGAAACUUAGCAUAUGUUGUGGCACAAAGAUGAAUUAUUCUCAAGUACACAUGCAAUCAUAAUUCACAAGGAUUACAAGAAAAAAAGGUUUAAUUGUGCUUCCAAUUCCAUUACAAAACACUGUG
rnacentral:misc_RNA from 1 species